UUCUCCCACCUCAGCCUCCUGAGUAGCUGGGAUUACAGACAUGGUAUCUUGGAUAACACCUGACGAUAAUAACAAAGGAACUGUAAUUCUGCAGCCUUGGCUUGACUUUUUUUAUGCCUUAGGGAAUGAAUAAGUACGUAAAUGAGAAAUGAAUCAUGAUAGUCACUUGUCAAUCCAAAAAUAUGUGAGCAAGAGCCAUGUGAAAAUAAUAAAAGCAAGAUAUUUUCUGGCAAAUUUAUCUUGGGGUUAAUGCUG